UACGUAGGGCGCAAGCGUUGUCCGGAAUUACUGGGCGUAAAGAGCUCGUAGGUGGUUUGUCGCGUUGUUCGUGAAACUCACAGCUCAACUGUGGCGUGCGGGCGAUACGGGCAGACUAGAGUACUGGCAGGGGAGACUGGAAUUCCUGGUGAUAGCGGUGGAAUGGCGCCAGAUAGUCGAGGAGGAACGACCGGUGGCGAAGGCGGGUCUCUGGG
rnacentral:rRNA from 1 species